UCCGCGUACAUAAACAAUGGGCUCCUCCUCCUCCGUGGGGUUCACUCCGCCGCCGUCUCUUCAUAGCCUCUCCGAACCGAGUUCAUGCUUGUCGGAUCCGAGCUCCUCUUGCGGAAUCCGGCUCCUCGUCAUAGGAGCGAAGCUCCUACACGUGGGAUCCAUUUCCUCGCUGUUGGGAUCGUGCUCCUCUACGUGGGAUCAGUUUGCCAUCUGCUCAUCGUCGCCAGGUCCGGGCUCCUCUGCACAGGAUCUAGCUCUUCCUCGUGGGAUCGACUCCUCAUUGUCGGGGCCAAGCGCAUCCAUACAGGAUCGAACACCUUGCCAUCGCGAGCGAACUCCUGAACGCAGCAUGCGGGACUGGCUCCUCGUUGUCGGGGCGAACUCAUUUGCGUGGGAUCGAGGCAGGGAUGGCGUAUGUGAGCACGAUAGUGGCAGAUCAGGCUCCACGCCGCUCAUUCUGCCAAAUCAUGCUCCUCCUCGUCGGAUCGGAGCUCCACCCGCGGGAUCGAGCUCCUCCUCGUCAGAUCCAUGCUCAUCAUGCUGGUUCGAGGUCCUCGCCGUCGAGAUUGAGAUCCUCGUGCAGCAACGGCUCCUGGUCGGUGGGGUUGGAAAUUGCUAGGUGAGACGCGUAGCGACGACGUCGUCUCCAUGUGCAUCGCUUGCUUGCUUCCUUUUGGGUACAAGAAAUUGAGCUUCACCUGCAAGGUUGUUGAAGCUAUACAAAUACAUGACCAAAGACCAGCGCACAUUAGUACAAAAUGCUGGAUUGGGAGGGUUGCGAAAUAUAGGAUGCAAAACUUUGUCAUAUGCUCUCAACAAGUGGUUGAUUGAGAAUUUUGAUGAUGAGUCUAGUGAGCAUGUACUCCGUGAAGAGGAGGAUGACACAUGAUGAUGUUCACAAAAUUUUGGGUCAAAACAAGGUAAAAGGUAGUCUAUGAUUUUGAUACUGAAGCUAUUAACUUCAGCUUUCCGGAAGAUACUAACUUUAUUUUUGAGAAUCGAAAGAUACUAACUUACAAGUGGCUUAACCAUCCAGACAAUGUUGUCAAUUAGAAGAGCCAGCUCAAAUUGAAAUAGGUAGUUAUCUCUAGUUUUUCAAUGUUAACUUGUUUUUAUAUUUGAAUUAAGAAGCAACUUUAUAUUUUUGUAUAAGCACCUUCAUGUUAACAAAAGGACACUAUUACAUAAAAAGGUCAUCAUUGCCGGUAAGUACUGUUGCUGAUGCCGUAGCUCCCAACUUUUACUGGAUUAAGAUUUUCUUUUAUUUUAAGUUCAAUAAGUAUUUUUAUACGUUAGCGUAAGCAGUUAUGUACUGAAAAAUAAACAAAAUUUCAGCAUCUAUAAAGCAACUUUUGGGCUUCUUUUUUCCUAGGCAUUACUUUGGUAUUCUAGUAGGCAAGUUUAUGAGUAUGUAGAAGCAAAUUUAUGAGUAUAUAUUCUAACUGACAGUGAAUUUAUGUAUUUCAAACAGGCAACCUGAUUUUCUUAAGAAGCAACAACUCUAAUAUGGAAAAGCAAACUCAUAUACAUGUGAAGCAAACUUCAUGCAUACAUCAUAUAGACAAUUCAUGCAAAUUUGUUCAUAAGCUGCCAGAAUACCAGGCAUAGAAGGAACUUGUACAUUUAUACAAGCAGACAUAACUGCAAUAUGAACAAAUGAAGGUGUCAUAAGUGCAGGAGGAGGUGUUGCAGUCGAUAUAGCUGUAGUAACUGAAGAUGCAUUCUGUAGCAGCAGGAUGCUAAACACCCACAUGAUCGCUGAAAAUGGUACCGUUCAGCAGACACCCAUUGUAACAACAAAAUGGAGAUUGGGGGCAGCUGGUUAAGAUACAUAAUAUUAAUACCUGACUUGUUCCCACAAAAAAAAAACCAAAAAAAGAUUGUGAAUCUCAUAUGUAGCACAUACAUUUUCUGCCUUUUUAUUUUGACUCAAAAUGCUUUUCUAGCUUCAAUAAAUUUUGCAUUAGAAAUUGUUCAUUGGAAGAUGAAACCCAUAGGUCAUGGUUUUGACUAUAGCAGAUUCAACACAGAUUUUUUUUUUUUUUUUUUUGUUCAAAACUUUUGCUUACAUUCAGUCAAAUGUCAUACAAUGCAUUGGGUAAAUUUGUAUAGUACAACUCUACAUGAUUCGUCGUAUCAGGCAACUCAUUUGGUACAAAUUUUGAUUCAUAUUGCAUCCCAUUCUUCAUAUAUGUGCAAGUUUUGCUCGAUACAAUGGACCAGCUGAAUCUCAAAAUUUUGCAUUUGUUCUAGAGAGUACAACUUUACAGUAAAGCAAAUAAAAUGCUAAGUUUGUGUCAUGUGAAAGUAAAGUGAGUUUUUGCAGGAGGUAAAAGCAACUCUGGGGAACUCUAUUAUCAAGUGAAAUACAUAUCCUGUGUAAUCAAAGUGCGCUUCAGCAGUAAUCUAGUGAUUCAUCUUUUGUCUAGAAAGCAUUCUAUCAGUUUAUUCAAUUUGCCAGUUUUUUUCUUGCAAAGGUGCAUAUCCAAUUCUUUUGAAGCGGGUCUGAUUGUUUCACAUAUCCAAUAUAUGGAUUGUUUAAUA